GAUGAACGCUAGCGGCAGGCCUAAUACAUGCAAGUCGAACGGUGUAGCAAUACACAGUGGCGCACGGGUGCGUAACACGUAUGCAACCUACCUAUCAUUGGGGGAUAGCCUUUGGAAACGGAGAUUAAUACCGCAUAAGACAGUAACAUGGCAUCAUGUAGCUGUUAAAGCUUUGGCGAUGAUAGAUGGGCAUGCGUCCAAUUAGUUAGUUGGUGAGGUAACGGCUCACCAAGACGAUGAUUGGUAGGGGAUCUGAGAGGAUAAUCCCCCACACUGGCACUGAGAUACGGGCCAGACUCCUACGGGAGGCAGCAGUAGGGAAUAUUGGGCAAUGGACGGAAGUCUGACCCAGCCAUGCCGCGUGCAGGAUGAAGGCGUUAUGCGUUGUAAACUGCUUUUUUAUAGGAAGAAGGAGACCUUGCGAGGUUUGGUGACGGUACUAUAAGAAUAAGCACCGGCUAACUCCGUGCCAGCCGCCGCUGUAAGAC
rnacentral:rRNA from 1 species